rnacentral:rRNA from 1 species
AGCGAACGUUAGCGGCGGGCCUAACACAUGCAAGUCGAACGGGCUGUAGCAAUACAGUCAGUGGCGCACGGGUGAGUAACGCGUAGAUAAUCUACCUUCCGGCGGGGGAUAACAUUCCGAAAGGAAUGCUAAUACCGCAUCAGACCACGAGGUCCUCGGGCCUCGAGGGAAAAGGUGGUCUCUCCUUGGAAGCCAUCACCGGAAGAUGAGUCUGCGUCCCAUCAGCUAGUUGGUAAGGUAAUGGCUUACCAAGGCGAAGACGGGUAGCUGGUCUGAGAGGAUGAUCAGCCACACUGGUACUGGAACACGGACCAGACUCCUACGGGAGGCAGCAGUGGGGAAUAUUGGGCAAUGGGCGAAAGCCUGACCCAGCCACGCCGCGUGAGUGAUGAAGGCCUUCGGGUUGUAAAGCUCUGUGGGAAGGGGCGAAAAACUCAGACCUAAUACGUCUGAGGUUGACGGUACCUUCUUAGCAAGCACCGGCUAACUCUGUGCCAGCCGCCGCAGUAACAC